AUGUACGCAGCUUACCAGGUUGACGAAUGUACCUUCAAGGUGUGUACUCUCAUGGGCAUGUCCGAUUCAGAACCUGAAGACCCGGACAAGGGAAGAAACUACUUUAUGAAGGCCUCGAUAAACAAAGGUGAAUACUACUGCGAGUGCUGCAAAUACGAACGGGACGACAUUGUGUGCUGCCACAUACUCAAAAUAAUGGACAUGCAGGCAGUCACGCGAUUGCCCUGCCAUUUCAUACGACGGCGAAGGACUUGGGACGCUGACGAUGCGUUGGGGCCACAAACAUCAAAUGCAGUUUUAGCUGUACAUGAUGACAGACCAGAGAUAACCAUGGACUCCGUGAGGCACGUUGUACUGACCAAGAACUAUGCUGAACUAAUAGAUGAAGCAUGCAAGAGCGAUGAGAUAGCAAGGGUGGCUGAAAAGCACGGGAAGGCCCUGAAAAGAGAGCUUGAUGAGAUCAAGAAGAGGAAGGCUAAAGAAGCAUUACACAGGUUCCCUCGCACCUCAAGUGUGCCUUCGUCCACGGGUCCGUCCUCUGAAAACUCAGAGGUAGGGUCUGGAACAGCAAGCACACAAACUCAGGUCAGGAACCCGCCCCGUUCCAUCACAAAAGGGCGUCCAAAAGAGGUGAGAUACAAAUCGGGGUUGGAAAUUCAAGCAAAGCACAAGAAAGCAAAGAAAGGGAUGAGUAAUCCGUAA
rnacentral:rRNA from 1 species